UACGUAGGGUGCAAGCGUUGUCCGGGAUUAUUGGGCGUAAAGAGCUCGUAGGCGGUUUGUCGCGUCUGCUGUGAAAACUGGGGGCUCAACCCCCAGCCUGCAGUGGGUACGGGCAGACUAGAGUGCGGUAGGGGAGAUUGGAAUUCCUGGUGUAGCGGUGGAAUGCGCAGAUAUCAGGAGGAACACCGGUGGCGAAGGCGGGUCUCUGGGCCGAUACUGACGCUGAGGAGCGAAAGCGUGGGGAGCGAACAGG
rnacentral:rRNA from 1 species